rnacentral:rRNA from 1 species
UACAGAGGUCUCAAGCGUUGUUCGGAUUCAUUGGGCGUAAAGGGUGCGUAGGUGGCGUCGUAAGUCGGGUGUGAAAUUUCGGAGCUUAACUCCGAAACUGCAUUCGAUACUGCGGUGCUUGAGGACUGGAGAGGAGACUGGAAUUUACGGUGUAGCAGUGAAAUGCGUAGAGAUCGUGAGGAACACCAGAGGCGAAGGCGGCUUCCUGGACAAUUGCUGACGCUCAGGCACGAAAGCGUGGGGAGCAAAAGGG